UUCAAGUUUUUAAAAAAUAUGACAUUAGUAAUCAUAAGCAAAGUAAUACUAUAAUAAUCCAAGCUUGAAUAAACUUGGUGUGACAAAUUGAUUUAACAAUGCAAAAAGUAAUCUUUAAUGGACUACUUUGAAUAAAUAUGCUUCUAAUUAUAUUCUAAACGAUAUAAUACUAAUAAUAUAUAAUAAAUAAUAUAUUAAUAAAGGAGCAUAUACAUAUAUGUAUGUAUGUAUGUACUAUUAGUGAAAUUUUACUAGUUACACUUUACUGCUAUUGGUUAAAGGUUAUAAAGUACUGUAGUGCUAAUAAGCUCUUUUGCAUAACAGUAGCAAAUUUAAUAACGAAACAAGCUAAAUUUUGUAUGUCAAUUUUAUAAAUUACUAAAAUAUCUAGUCUUAGUAUCUCUCAUAUUCGAUGGGUAUUCGAUGUAAAAUAAUAUAAUUGUUCAACGGAAGUCUGAAACCUAAAACUUAUUACACAUCAAUCCAAUAAUGGAAUAAGUACAGUUAAAUCAAAAUAGUAUGAAAAAUAAAGAAGAGGAUAAGAAUCUAUUAAAAUAAAUAGUGAAAUUUGUCUUAUAAGACAAAUAUGCCACAGUACUUAAUGGAAAGAGAUAUAAGAGAAAACCAGUCUUAUGACAAGGUGCAAAUCUAGGGCAAAAUGAGGUAUUAUGGAAAAGAAUAUGGAAAAUA